UUAAUUGAAGCCAAAAAUAAGGCACUUUAUUGUUAAUAAAGUUAUUGAAUAUAUAAUUUCCAGUUAAA
rnacentral:tRNA from 2 species